UUUUGAUAAUAUGGGUGAUGA
rnacentral:siRNA from 1 species